ACCUUUGAGUGGAUCAAGAGCGUGUCCUUGGCCAGAGGCUUAUGAGAUUCCAAUUGGCUUACAUCUGGGUCACAUGCUCUUUGAUUAGGUGUCAGGUCACUUUCCUCAAAGCAGAUCAGCUACUCUGGUACUCUGGGUACUCUGUGUCCAUUCUGUGAACAGUUAGCCAAGAGAAAGACCCUGGUCAAUGCAGAGCUCUCUGCUGCCCAUCUCCAAUCUCAUAAAGGAGCCUGGUGAGAAGAAAUGAUGAACAUUUAAGCGAAGGAACCUUACAGACACUCCCCACUCUGCCUUCGAGGAAACAGAUAGAAAGCACCAAACACAAGAGGUCUGAUCAUCUGAUUCAGUCCAGGAGGCUGGUGAGAUGGGCAUCUCGUCCAGAAACGUUUGGAAACAGCUACAAAACGACGUACUACACUCUUUCCUCAAAAUACUAACCCCAUUCCUAGAAAUCUAGGCCAUAGUUUAGAAAAUAAACCCAGUGUGGGUAUACGGCUGUAGGUUUGUUUGAGGUUGGGGACAAGAUGGAAGCCCUAUGAAAUCCUAGGGGAAUCUGCACUGAUAUCGUGGGCUCAGAAAGAGAAGACCCGAGCUUUGGAAAGAGAAGGGCUUUGGCCAACAUUACACUGCAUGCUAAAAUGACUGGGAAAAAGAAAGAGGACCUGCCUGCCUCACACACGUGGACUAUUCUGUCAUUUAUGGACACAGAGACAGGUGUGGAGGUGGGGGAAGCAGAGCACAGAGUACAGAUGGCUAGAGCCCGCACAGCAAUAAAUGCUCAGACGAGGAACCUAAAGCCAGAGGAGAAGCAGAAGUGAAGCUUGAGACUGUCUUCUUCCAUAUUCUCAGGGUGCGCAGCUUCACACCCCUGCAGCUCCACACUGUCCCUGGAGUGGGGGAUGGGCAGGGCGAGCAUGUGCUGGGACAGGGCAUGAGGGUGAUGAGGAGCCUUAAAGUCCAGGAACUCUACCUCUCCAGCUCAGUCUCAGUUCCCCCCACCCUCUUGCCCUAUUUACCAUGCACUCAUACAACAUCUCUCUGGUCCCUUCCAACACUAUUGGCUUAUCCUUCGGGCCAGUGUAAAACCUUCACUGACUUUU